CCGCGAACUGUUACCUGUGACGUUGUCAGACUAACUUCGUACAGUCGGACUCUCACGGUCCAUUAUUGACUAUCGUCAUCUAAGACAAUUGGCAGCAGUACGGCCAUUUCUUUGUGCUUGUGAUUUUACUGCCAACUGAAGUAGAAUUUAGUAAGGACUAUGCCGGAACCAGAACAUAAGUCUAGCUGGAAUUUUACAUUCCGUUUCAUCCCAAGAAAAGAGGCUCUCUUUCCGGCUGAUGACUAUCUUCUCUUCUGCUACCAAGUACUCGAAUGGAUAUACAAACCUCCAGUUAAAAUUACCUUCACCUGUCAAUGACCGAUAGUGGAUGUCUGUGCACUGAGUAUCCUCAGGUCCCUUUAACCACCUGUAGAGAAAAUAAAAACUUUAUUACAAGGAAUUGGCAUGGAAGAGGGAGAGUUAGGGUGUGAUGUAAUAUAUUUUAAUUACUAUACACUGUAAAAAAAGAUUAACACACUUG